AAUCUUAUGUUUAUUUAUAUAAGACGAUUUCUGCCCAAUGAUAAUUUUUAAUGGCCGCAGUACCUUGACUGUGCUAAGGUAGCAUAAUAAAUUGGCUUUUAAAUGAGGUCUAGAAUGAAAGAAUAUUUGAGUAAAAAUUGUCUUUAUUUUGUUUUAUUGAAUUUUUUUAUUAGGUGAAAAGACCUUUAACAACUAAGAAAGACGAGAAGACCCUUAGAAUUUUAAAAAAAAUUAAAAUUUGUUUUUUGUUGGGGUGACAUAUUAACAUUUUUAACUUUCAAUUAUAAAACUAGACAGAAUUUCAAGAAAGAAAAAAUUACCUUAGGGAUAACAGCAUAAUUUUUUUUUAAGAUUAUGACCUCGAUGUUGGACUAGGAACCUAAUAAUUAGUAAUUAAAUUGGUUAGUUCUGUUCGAACUAUUUUCUCCU
rnacentral:rRNA from 1 species